AUGUAGAGAGCUGUCGCUGAGACGGGGGAGAAACCAAGCGCUCAAAAUUAAACUGCGCUUUUUAAGAGGAGGGGGAGGACGCGUAUUUUCAAUGGAAACACAGGUGGUGAACGUCCUCGCCUGCUUUAGGAGCGGACAGAAGACUUAACUUUGCAAAAGAUGCUGUCUGAACAUCUUUUAGGUAGAUAAAUGAUAGGCGCUAAGUUUGUAGCUGUCUGUAAGAAUGUGAUCCGGACUAGAAGCCUGGAGGAUGGAGCUGAUGACACAAGAUGAAGGUGGAAAUGGAGGAACCACGGCUGCAGUUCUGGUGAUGCUGUAGCAGCACGGAAUGGUUUGUGGGUUACACAGAGAUGCAGGCCAUACUGUGCUGCCGCAGUAGAGCCUGAAUAUACAACCUGGCUGUCACCUCGCUGCUCUGCAACCUGUUGACGUUGUUUACUGCCACUCUUGGAUUUGGUCUCCACUGUCUGAAGUAAUGCCACGUAGACAAUUGUUGUCAGAUGAUAAAAAAGUUGGUUGGAUCUGCCUCUCUCUCAUUUGCCGGUCGCCUUACUGUAGCAGCACGUAAAUAUUGGAGUUAAGACUCUAGCUGAAGCCUCCAGUAUUGAUCGUGCUGCUGAAGCAAAGCUGACCACUCACAAUCAGCACCACCAACCACUCAGUGUACUCACACCACCCCAGUGAGAGCUUGGGAGAUUCUCACAGGUAGAUUUUAAGUUAACCUCUAACACUACAUUGUUUGAAUAGGUCAAAUGUGUAUACACCUUUUUUUUUUGUUUGUUUUUGUUUUUACACGUCACUGUUCUGUCUGCACACUCUGAGAAAUAAAAUUUUAAAUCGGC